rnacentral:rRNA from 1 species
GACAGAGGGUGCAAACGUUGUUCGGAAUUCCUGUGCGUAAAGCGCGUGUAGGCGGCCCUGCAAGUCGGAUGUGAAAUCCCACGGCUCAACCGUGGAAGUGCAUUCGAAACUGCAGGGCUAGAGUCCUGGAGAGGAAGGUGGAAUGCUUGGUGUAGAGGUGAAAUUCGUAGAUAUCAAGCGGAACACCGGUGGCGAAGGCGGCCUUCUGGACAGUGACUGACGCUGAGACGCGAAAGCGUGGGGAGCAAACAGG